UGGGGUUGGUCUAGUGGUUGGUUUGGGAUUUUGGAGUUUGCUCCUCUCAAGGUCUCGGGUUCGAUUCCCUGUGGUGCCAA
rnacentral:tRNA from 1 species